rnacentral:lncRNA from 1 species
ACAAACCAACAACAGACUACAAAUGAUAAUAAUGAUUUUCUGGCCUUGUGGUUCUCCUUUGAAAGUUAACAUUUUUGUGUGAUGUCUUCUUCGAAAGUGUCUUCUAACAAAAGACAAUUUAAGCAAGAGGGUGGUGAUUCCGGCAACUGCUAAAUCUUGUUUAGGAAAUUGCAGCAAUCUGGAGGAUGCGACUCAUCUUUUUCUUCAUUUCAACAAUGUCCAUCAUGGAUCACUAUUAUGACUGGUUAGACUUAGUCAUGUACCUCCUUACAAUAUCUCAU